AGUCUUAACCGGGCGUUAAGUUGCAGGGUAUAGACCCGAAACCCGGUGAUCUAGCCAUGGGCAGGUUGAAGGUUGGGUAACACUAACUGGAGGACCGAACCGACUAAUGUUGAAAAAUUAGCGGAUGACCUGUGGCUGGGGGUGAAAGGCCAAUCAAACCGGGAGAUAGCUGGUUCUCCCCGAAAGCUAUUUAGGUAGCGCCUCGUGAAUUCAUCUCCGGGGGUAGAGCACUGUUUCGGCUAGGGGGCCAUCCCGGCUUACCAACCCGAUGCAAACUGCGAAUACCGGAGAAUGUUAUCACGGGAGACACACGGCGGGUGCUAACGUCCGUCGUGAAGAGGGAAACAACCCAGACCGCCAGCUAAGGUCCCAAAGUCAUGGUUAAGUGGGAAACGAUGUGGGAAGGCCCAGACAGCCAGGAUGUUGGCUUAGAAGCAGCCAUCAUUUAAAGAAAGCGUAAUAGCUCACUGGUCGAGUCGGCCUGCGCGGAAGAUGUAACGGGGCUAAACCAUGCACCGAAGCUGCGGCAGCGAACGUAUCACCCAAGACAACUUUACGGAGUUGACGAUUGACGGAGCGAAGCGACGUCAAAGCGUUCAUUAAAGUCGAGUUGGCUUAGGGAUACGUUCGUUGGGUAGGGGAGCGUUCUGUAAGCCUGUGAAGGUGUGUCGUGAGGCAUGCUGGAGGUAUCAGAAGUGCGAAUGCUGACAUAAGUAACGAUAAAGCGGGUGAAAAGCCCGCUCGCCGGAAGACCAAGGGUUCCUGUCCAACGUUAAUCGGGGCAGGGUGAGUCGACCCCUAAGGCGAGGCCGAAAGGCGUAGUCGAUGGGAAACGGGUUAAUAUUCCCGUACUUGGUGUUACUGCGAAGGGGGGACGGAGAAGGCUAUGUUGGCCGGGCGACGGUUGUCCCGGUUUAAGCGUGUAGGUGUGUGUUCCAGGUAAAUCCGGUUCACUUUAACACUGAGGCGUGACGACGAGGCACUACGGUGCUGAAGCAACAAAUGCCCUGCUUCCAGGAAAAGCCUCUAAGCAUCAGGUAACACGAAAUCGUACCCCAAACCGACACAGGUGGUCAGGUAGAGAAUACCAAGGCGCUUGAGAGAACUCGGGUGAAGGAACUAGGCAAAAUGGUGCCGUAACUUCGGGAGAAGGCACGCUGACAC
rnacentral:rRNA from 1 species